GUAUAUAUAAUUUAAAUAAAAUAUUAAACUGUGACUUU
rnacentral:tRNA from 1 species